UUGACCUCAGAUCAGGUAGGAAUACCCGCUGAACUUAAGCAUAUCAAUAAGCGGAGGAAAAGAAACCAACAGGGAUUGCCCUAGUAACGGCGAGUGAAGCGGCAACAGCUCAAAUUUGAAAUCUGGCCCUAGGCCCGAGUUGUAAUUUGUAGAGGAUGUUUCUGGCGACGUGUCUUCCGAGUUCCCUGGAACGGGACGCCAUAGAGGGUGAGAGCCCCGUACGGUUGAUUACCUAGCCUCUGUGAAACUCCUUCGACGAGUCGAGUAGUUUGGGAAUGCUGCUCUAAAUGGGAGGUAUACGUCUUCUAAAGCUAAAUACCGGCCAGAGACCGAUAGCGCACAAGUAGAGUGAUCGAAAGAUGAAAAGCACUUUGAAAAGAGGGUUAAAUAGUACGUGAAAUUGUUGAAAGGGAAGCGUUUAUGACCAGACUUGAGUAGGUUGAUCAUCCGUGGUUCUCCGCGGUGCACUCUGCCUGCUCAGGCCAGCAUCAGUUCGCUUUGGGGGAUAAAAGCUUCGGGAAUGUGGCUCCCUCGGGAGUGUUAUAGACCGUUGCAUAAUACCCUGGAGCGGACUGAGGUUCGCGCAUUUGCAAGG
rnacentral:rRNA from 1 species